rnacentral:rRNA from 1 species
AGGACGAACGCUGGCGGCGUGCUUAACACAUGCAAGUCGAGCGGAAAGGCCCUUCGGGGUACUCGAGCGGCGAACGGGUGAGUAACACGUGAGCAACCUACCCUUGGCUUUGGGAUAACCCUCGGAAACGGGGGCUAAUACCGAAUAUUACCCCUGUCUGCAUGGGUGGGGGUGGAAAGUUUUUCGGCUGGGGAUGGGCUCGCGGCCUAUCAGCUUGUUGGUGGGGUAAUGGCCUACCAAGGCGACGACGGGUAG